CCUACGGGGGGCAGCAGUGGGGAAUAUUGCACAAUGGGGGAAACCUGGUGGCAGGAAGCCGCCGUGAGGGAGAAAGGCCUUGGGUCGUAAACUUCUUACCGGCGGGGAGGAGGAAAGUACCGUUACCGGAUAAAAAGGCCCGGCCAAACUAGGUGCCAGAAGCCGCGGUAAAACGAAGGGGGCAAGGGUUAUCCGGAAUCACUGGGGGUAAGGGGUGCGUAGGCGGUAGGGCAAGUCAGAUGUGAAAGCCCGGAGCUCAACUUCGGGACUGCAUUUGAAACUGUUUUACUAGAGUGCAGGAGAGGAAAGCGGAAUUCCUAGUGUAGCGGUGAAAUGCGUAGAUAUUAGGAAGAACACCAGUGGCGAAGGCGGCUUUCUGGACUGUAACUGACGCUGAGGCACGAAAGCGUGGGGAGCGAACAGGAUUAGAUACCCUUGUAGUC
rnacentral:rRNA from 1 species